GCAGGGGGUGCAGGGGGCUCCCACCCGGACAGCACACCGCCUGCCUCACUGCGUGGGGGGCAGCUGAGCCCUGCCUGCCCCCCGGCCUGCCCCCCACGACCCUGUCCGGGGCUCAGACUGCCUUCUUGCCCCCCUUGGUGUGCCGACGCCUGAAGCCCCAGGCCAGCCCCUGCCCCUGGAGCAAGCCUGUCGCUCGUUCCCCAUUGGGCCACCAGGGAGGGGUGCUGGGGUGCGAGCGCAGCUGAGGGGGCUCGGGCUGCUGCCAGCUGGUGGUGGACGGGCCGGAACGUGUGUUUGUGCAGCCUGAGGCCUCCCUCCUCUGGGCAGCACACACCCAGCUCCGGGAUCAAGAGCUGCGUGCUCCAGGCCCGAGCCACCCAGGUGCCCCUAGAACGAUGCGUUUUGAAUUAACUUUGGUGUGCAGUGGGGUCCCGUCACGACUUGCGUGGAGUUGGCUUGCGGGUCUGGGAGACCCGAAAAUUGAGAGUUUCUGCGCGCCCCAACAGCGGCUCCCCACGGCUCCGAGGCGGCACCAGACCACAAAACGAAUACACUGAGUCACGCCAGAAGCACUACCGCUGUCGUUUGGAUUUCCAGGAGAAAAAGAUUAAGAAAGAAGGUCGAGAGGCUCAGGAACGUUCAAAGAAAGCGAAAAAGAUGAUUGGUCUGAAAACUAAGCUGUACCUGGAACAGCGGCGUGCUGAAAAAAUACCAAAAGGACUCUCCAGAGGCAGGAGACGAGAAAGGGCAAACCAAAGAGUGAGAAGACGCCCCCGGAGCAGGGCCUGCAGGUGUCCCGGCCCGAGGGGCAGCCCCCGCUUAAGUCCUUUCCAAUGUGACUGAACAGAGGAACAGAGCAAGCCGGGAAGUGGGGAGUUCCUUUACCCGGAUUCGCGCUCCGGGAGACACAGAAGCACUAAAAGUCAUUCUCAGGGAAGAGAAAGAGGAAAGCGUGGAAGGGGACGGUCACUAGUCCGCUUUGCCGGAGUCGCUCUCCUCGGAAACCACCUGCGCGCAAAGGUUCAUUGGCCAACGGGCUUACCUGUCACAAAGGCCCAGUAACAGCCUAAAUUGAAAGCCACCUUCUGGGGACGCCCAGGGGCUCAGCGGGUGAGCGUCUGCCUUGGGCCCAGGGUGUGACCCCGGGGUCCCGGAAUCGAGUCCCGUGUCGGGUUCCCCGCAGGGAGCCUGCUUCUCCCUCUGCCUGUGUCUCGGUCUCUCUCUCUGUGUCUCGCAUCAAUAAAUAAGUAAAAU